GCCCGGAGCUGUCGAAGCUACGCGCUAGCCCUACGUACGCUGGGCAGGCAGUCACCGUACGCAGCUUGGUAAUCCACGCACGAGCACAUCCACUCCUUCGGUGAGGGCCCCUGUGGUCAUAGGCUCGUACGAGUUGAUUGCGUGACGCCCGUCCAGUUUCCUAAUUCCCAUCUAAUUCCGAGAUCCGAUUGUGAGUUCACGUCUUCGAGUAUCCCCCAGCCACGAUCAUCAUCUCUGGACGCGAACGCGAGUCGCUAUUUCAUGGAUGAACUCUGUUCUUCCAUCUCUACUCCAGGCCAGCGCCAGAUUGCGCCAUCACCCAGCACGCACACGCUCAUGCACAUCGCCGAGCGCAUGCCGCAGACGCAUAUACAUAUCGCGUCAUCGCCAAGCGCCGGAUCAGACAAUAACCAACAGCGAUUCAACCGAUCCAAGGCCAAAAUCGCGGGAGAUCACCGGCGAUUGCAGGAAAUCAUGCUGAUUUAGGCUAAAAUUUUGAUGCAAAUUUGGCUGACGCAAUUUCCUUUCUCCGGCCAUUUUAAUAGAGAUGCAUAAAUGCCUUCCAGAGUUACUCUUCUUUGAAGCUAGGAGUGUGCCUUUUGCGGAAUGAAGACCGGACGCCGGUCGACGAAACAGAGCAUGCAGCUGUCUCUGUUUCCAGUAACCAAUGCCUGCCUUUUUUUCUCACUGAUGAAUGCUGGCUACACAGUAGCAAAUUCAAUCUCAAUACUCUCAGGUAAAACGGACAACAAUGACAAGGAGCAUCUGCAUGACUGAAUAAUCUCUCUGCCUGAAAAACACAUGCCACACAUUUCUCAGCUGGAGGACUGACGAAUCAAGGUGUGAACUAGCUAGCUAGGUACUCUCUUCAAGAUUUGCUUAUACUACUGUCCCUUAAGUAAGGUAAUCUACAGCAGACCUGACUGGAAACUCCAACAUACUUGUCAGCUAUUUGGUGAGCUACAUCACGGAAAUCUUCCAUACAGUAACAGUGAUUACUUGAGGGUUAUUUAGUAGCAUACAUUGACAUAUAUAGUUCACUGUAUAAUGAUAAAGCUAUGAACAUAAUCUGCUAGGAAAGCAUUUCAAUCAAGCACAAACAGGCAUACUCCCAAUCAAAGGCAAGCCAAGCAUUUAGCAAAACGCCUGGGCUUUGCAGCAAUGCAAAAAAUAGCGCGCUACAACAAAAUAGCGCCGACCUCAAAAUAUGCUAUUAGCGUGCUAUAUCGCGCUAUAGCGUGCUAUUAGCGAGAC